GUGGCUAGGGUUAGCCGCCCGCAUCGCUCGCCGCUCACGCCGCUCUACUCCCUGCUCGCGGCAUCGCUCUGCUCCUUGCUCGCGGCAUCGCUCUGCAUCACCGACGACUCCCUGUUCCUGGCCGACUGCUCACGCCGCUCUGCUCCCUGUUCCUGGCCGACGGCGGCGACAACGGCGAGGUGAGAUGAUGAUUUUGGUGAGGCAGAUUCAUCCGCCGUUGAUCGCUCUGCUCUGAAUCGCUAGAUUUGGGCUGGCUAGUCUGUGAGAGGCAGAGAGAGACACUAGUUUUUCGCUAGUAAAAUUAUGGUGUUGUUUACAGCUACGGUGUUGUUUACAACUAUGGUAGAUAUGUUAAGACCUGGACAGGAAAACUUAGUGGCAUGGGCUGGCUCUCUUCUGACAAGCAGGGAUGGUCUGGAAUCAAUCGUAGAUCAUUCACUUGGGAGCAGCAUUCAAUUUGACAGCAUCGCAAAAGUAGCAGUCAUUGCUUCUAUGUGUGCUCAGCCAUUGCGCAUAUAAUGUCAAUGAUGUUAGACUUGUUAAUGUCAGACAACGAAAGAUGGUUCUUUGGUCACUACGAAAGUGACAACGAAAGAUGGGCUGGCUAGUCUGUGAGAGGCAGAGAGAUACACUAGUUUUUCGCUC
rnacentral:lncRNA from 1 species